rnacentral:rRNA from 1 species
UGGGGAAUUUUGGACAAUGGGCGAAAGCCUGAUCCAGCAAUGCCGCGUGUGUGAAGAAGGCCCUCGGGUUGUAAAGCACUUUUGUCCGGAAAGAAAUCCUUGGCUCUAAUACAGUCGGGGGAUGACGGUACCGGAAGAAUAAGCACCGGCUAACUACGUGCCAGCAGCCGCGGUAAUACGUAGGGUGCAAGCGUUAAUCGGAAUUACUGGGCGUAAAGCGUGCGCAGGCGGUUUGCUAAGACCGAUGUGAAAUCCCCGGGCUCAACCUGGGAACUGCAUUGGUGACUGGCAGGCUAGAGUAUGGCAGAGGGGGGUAGAAUUCCACGUGUAGCAGUGAAAUGCGUAGAGAUGUGGAGGAAUACCGAUGGCGAAGGCAGCCCCCUGGGCCAAUACUGACGCUCAUGCACGAAAGCGUGGGGAGCAAACAGGAUUAGAUACCCUGGUAGUCCACGCCCUAAACGAUGUCAACUAGUUGUUGGGGAUUCAUUUCCUUAGUAACGUAGCUAACGCGUGAAGUUGACCGCCUGGGGAGUACGGUCGCAAGAUUAAAACUUAAAGGAAUUGACGGGGUCAUAGCUGUUUCCU